rnacentral:rRNA from 1 species
GAUGAACGCUAGCUACAGGCUUAACACAUGCAAGUCGAGGGGAAACGGCAUUAAGUGCUUGCACUUUUUGGACGUCGACCGGCGCACGGGUGAGUAACGCGUAUCCAACCUUCCCAUGACUAAGGGAUAACCUGCCGAAAGGCAGACUAAUACCUUAUGGUCUUCACUGACGGCAUCAGAUGUGAAGUAAAGAUUUAUCGGUUAUGGAUGGGGAUGCGUCUGAUUAGCUUGUUGGCGGGGUAACGGCCCACCAAGGCAACGAUCAGUAGGGGUUCUGAGAGGAAGGUCCCCCACAUUGGAACUGAGACGCGGUCCAAACUCCUACGGGAGGCAGCAGUGAGGAAUAUUGGUCAAUGGGCGAGAGCCUGAACCAGCCAAGUAGCGUGCAGGAUGACGGCCCUAUGGGUUGUAAACUGCUUUUGUAUGGGGAUAAAGUCAAUCACGUGUGAUUGUUUGCAGGUACCAUACGAAUAAGGACCGGCUAAUUCCGUG